GACGAACGCUGGCGGCGUGCCUAAUACAUGCAAGUAGAACGCAGUUGCGAACGGGUGAGUAAAGCGUAUGUAACUGCCCCAUAGCGGGGGAUACCUAUGGGGAACACUAGCUAUAACCCCACACUGUGAGCUGGACCUGCGUUGUAUGAGCUAGUUGGUGGGGUAAAGGCGCACCAAGACGACGAUACAUAGCCGGCCUGAGAGGGUGAUCGGCCACACUGGAACUGAGACACGGCCCAGACUCCUCCGGAAGGAAGCAGUGGGGAACCUUCGGCAAUGGAGGAAAGCCUGACCGAGCAAGGCCGCGUGAGGGAAGAAGGUUUUCGGAUCGUAAACCCCUGUUAUUAGGGAAGCGGUAUCUAAAUAGAAAGCCACGGCUAACUACGUGCCAGCAGCCGCGGUAAUUC
rnacentral:rRNA from 1 species